rnacentral:rRNA from 1 species
UACGUAGGUGGCAAGCGUUGUCCGGAUUUACUGGGCGUAAAGCGCGCGCAGGCGGUUUGUUAAGUCCGGUGUGAAAGCUCCCGGCUCAACUGGGAGAGGUCAUCGGAUACUGGCAGACUUGAGGAAGGUAGAGGAAGGUGGAAUUCCCGGUGUAGUGGUGAAAUGCGUAGAGAUCGGGAGGAACACCAGUGGCGAAGGCGGCCUUCUGGGCCUUUCCUGACGCUGAGGCGCGAAAGCGUGGGGAGCGAAC